rnacentral:lncRNA from 1 species
CCGGGGCUGUGGAUUUGUUUAAUGUCGUGAGUGGUGUGUGGUGGUAACUGGUAAGGAAGAUGUGGGGCAUCAUCAGGAUGGUAGCAAUGGAGAGUGUUGAGAGGCGAUGUGGAGCGAGACAAUGCACCGAACCAACGUACCCGACAAGCCUCUUAUCAUGUCCUACCCGGAUGCUGCAUGCAUGCAUGACUAGCUCUACACGAAAAAUAAUUCGGUACUCCUACAUGACAAAAGCUACAGGUAGAUUUUUUUUUUUUUGCGAGCAAGCUACAGGUAGAAUUUGAUGCGUAUCAUGCAUUCAUGCAUAUCGGUCGGUCACAAUG